rnacentral:rRNA from 1 species
AGAGUUUGAUCCUGGCUCAGGAUGAACGCUAGCGGCAGGCCUAAUACAUGCAAGCCGAACGGCAAGUUGAGUAGCAAUACUUGACCUAGAGUGGCGUAAGGGUGCGUAACACGUAUGCAAUCUGCCCACAACAGGAGGAUAGCUCCCCGAAAGGGGAAUUAAUACUCCAUAAGAUCACACGAGGGCAUCUGAGAGUGAUUAAACUACAAGGGGUUGUGGAUGAGCAUGCGGUUGAUUAGCUAGUUGGUAAGGUAACGGCUUACCAAGGCGAUGAUCAAUAGGGGAACUGAGAGGUUUAUCCCCCACACUGGCACUGAGAUACGGGCCAGACUCCUACGGGAGGCAGCAGUAGGGAAUAUUGGACAAUGGGCGAGAGCCUGAUCCAGCCAUGCCGCGUGCAGGAAGAAGGCCUUCUGGGUUGUAAACUGCUUUUGCCAGGGGAUAAAAAAUCCCUGCGGGGAAAAUUGAAGGUACCUGGUGAAUAAGCCACGGCUAACUACGUGCCAGCAGCCGCGGUAAUACGUAGGUGGCAAGCGUUGUCCGGAUUUAUUGGGUUUAAAGGGUGCGUAGGCGGCCCUGUAAGUCAGUGGUGAAAUACGGCAGCUCAACUGUCGAGGUGCCAUUGAUACUGCAGGGCUUGAGUACAGACGAGGUAGGCGGAAUUGACGGUGUAGCGGUGAAAUGCUUAGAUAUCGUCAAGAACACCGAUAGCGAAGGCAGCUUACUAGGCUGUAACUGACGCUGAGGCACGAAAGUGUGGGGAUCAAACAGGAUUAGAUACCCUAGUAUCCC